UCGUGUUGGGAAGCGGCAGCGCAAUGUGUCACUCCCGGCUCGGGAAGUGUUGGAGUGCGGUGAUGUUUCGCUGGAAAUAAAAGGAGGCCUGAGCUUAGCUUGUUGUGACUGGGUGGAAUGCCCUGUGUGUGGGAAGCAAAUACGCGGGAAUGAACUUCUCGUCAACUGCCAUCUUGAUACUUGCCUGCAAAGUGGGAA